AUUGAACGCUGGCGGCAGGCCUAACACAUGCAAGUCGAACGAGUGGCGGACGGGUGAGUAAUGUCUGGGAAACUGCCUGAUGGAGGGGGAUAACUACUGGAAACGGUAGCUAAUACCGCAUACCAUCAGAUGUGCCCAGAUGGGAUUAGCUAGUUGGUGGGGUACAGGCUCACCAAGGCGACGAUCCCUAGCUGGUCUGAGAGGAUGACCAGCCACACUGGAACUGAUACACGGUCCAAACUCCUACGGGAGGCAGCAGUGGGGAAUAUUCCGCAAUGGGCGCAAGCCUGAUGCAGCAAUGCCGCGUGAGUGAAGAAGGCCUUCGGGUUGUAAAAUCCUUUCGGCAGGGAGGCGUUACCCGAGGAGGAAGCACCGGCUAACUCCGUGCCAGCAGCCGCGGUAAUUC
rnacentral:rRNA from 1 species